rnacentral:lncRNA from 1 species
UCUGUAAACUAUUACAUCGUCAACCCAAACAUCUCCUUGCAUUUUUAUUGGCAGAAUUGGGUACAAGUGGUUCUAUAGAUGGUAAUAACCAACUUGUAAUCAAAGGAAGAUUCCAACAGAAACAGAUAGAAAACGUCUUGAGAAGAUAUAUCAAGGAAUACGUCACUUGUCACACAUGCCGGUCACCCUACUCUAUUUCUCACAGUGUAAAACUUGUCAUUCUCGAUGCUCUGUUGCCAGUAUCAAAACUGGCUUCCAGGCUGUCACAGGCAAGCGAGCACAGCUCCUUGCCAAAGCUAACUAAUUUGCUAAUCACCAUUGAUUUUUCCAAAAUGUGGUGGAGAUUCGGCUGGACAGGUUACCAUCAGAGUGGAUGUACCAUUGAGUUAAAAACAAGAUAGAAACUGCCAAGUUCUUUGGCGAGUGAUUGUUCUGAAAUCCUUGCAAGAUACUGAUAUUCAAGCUGUUGACAUACUCGUUGCCUACUUUAACAACUGUCAGAGAAACGUGAUGGAGUAAGGAGGUGCUUUUUAAAAUCGUUCAUAGACUUCUAUAAAAUGCAAGAUAAAUUAAAGUUAUUAUAACAGUAA